UGCCCCUAGAAGACAUCACUCACCAGAGAUAGUCACUCUGUAUUCUAAAAUCCAAAGCACCAAUGAACCUCGCAUGGCCUGAAUGUGAGGGAGACCCAGCAUGCACUGGUGACGCACGCAUUGAUUGUGAAGUCACUAGAGAGGGAUGCAAAAGCCUUUUAUCGGUCAUAGUUCUAAAGACCAAGCAGGAAAGUGUGAAAUACGCCCACUGAGGCCAGUUAUAAAAGCCAGAAG
rnacentral:lncRNA from 1 species